rnacentral:rRNA from 1 species
UACGUAGGGUGCAAGCGUUGUCCGGAAUUAUUGGGCGUAAAGAGCUCGUAGGCGGUUUGUCGCGUCGAAUGUGAAAACCCGGGGCUCAACCCCGGGCCUGCAUUCGAUACGGGCAAGCUAGAGUUCGGCAGGGGAGACUGGAAUUCCUGGUGUAGCGGUGAAAUGCGCAGAUAUCAGGAGGAACACCGGUGGCGAAGGCGGAUCUCUGGGCCUUACCUGACGCUGAGGCGCGAAAGCUAGGGGAGCGAACAGG